rnacentral:rRNA from 1 species
CCUAACACAUGCAAGUCGAGCGGAGCCAUCUAGAAGAUUUCCGUUCGGGAUGACGAUUAAGAAGGAAGCGGCGGACGGUGAGUAACGCGUGAGUAACCUGCCUAUCAGAGGGGGACAACAUUCCGAAAGGGAUGCUAAUACCGCAUAACAUUAUUUAACCGCAUGGUUUUAUGAUCAAAGAUUUAUCGCUGAUAGAUGGACUCGCGUCUGAUUAGAUAGUUGGUGAGGUAACGGCUCACCAAGUCUACGAUCAGUAGCCGGACUGAGAGGUUUGAACGGCCACAUUGGAACUGAGAUACGGUCCAGACUCCUACGGGAGGCAGCAGUGGGGAAUAUUGGGCAAUGGGCGAAAGCCUGACCCAGCAACGCCGCGUGAAGGAAGAAGGUCUUCGGAUUGUAAACUUCUUUUAUAAGGGAAGAAAAAUGACUGUACCUUAUGAAUAAGCCACGGCUAACUACGUG